GUGGGGAAUAUUGGACAAUGGGCGCAAGCCUGAUCCAGCAAUGCCGCGUGGGUGAAGAAGGCCUUCGGGUUGUAAAGCUCUUUAGUCCACGAAUAUAAUGACUGUAGUGGAAGAAUAAGCCCCGGCUAACUUCGUGCCAGCAGCCGCGGUAAUACGAAGGGGGCGAGCGUUAUUCGGAAUCACUGGGCGUAAAGCGUGCGUAGGCUGUUUUGUAAGUCAGAAGUGAAAGCCCAGGGCUUAACCCUGGAAUUGCUUUUGAAACUACAAGACUCGAAUUCGGGAGAGGAUAGCGGAAUUGUCAGUGUAGCAGUGAAAUGCGUAGAUAUUGACAGGAACACCAGUGGCGCAAGCGGCUAUCUGGACCGAUAUUGACGCUGAGGCACGAAAGCGUGGGGAGCAAACAGGAUUAGAAACCCGAGUAGUCC
rnacentral:rRNA from 1 species